rnacentral:rRNA from 1 species
AUUGAACGCUGGCGGCAGGCUUAACACAUGCAUGUCGAGCGGGGGGAGGUAGCUUGCUACCUAACCUAGCGGCGGACGGGUGAGUAAUGCUUAGGAAUCUGCCUAUUAGUGGGGGACAACAUUUCGAAAGGGAUGCUAAUACCGCAUACGCCCUAAGGGGGAAAGCAGGGGAUCUUCGGACCUUGCGCUAAUAGAUGAGCCUAAGUCGGAUUAGCUAGUUGGUGGGGUAAAGGCCUACCAAGGCGACGAUCUGUAGCGGGUCUGAGAGGAUGAUCCGCCACACUGGGACUGAGAAACGGCCCAGACUCCUACGGGAGGCAACAGUGGGGAAUAUUGGACAAUGGGGGGAACCCUGAUCCAGCCAUGCCGCGUGUGUGAAGAAGGCCUUUUGGUUGUAAAGCACUUUAAGCGAGGAGGAGGCUACCGAGAUUAAUACUCUUGGAUAGUGGACGUUACUCGCAGAAUAAGCACCGGCUAACUCUGUGCCAGCCGCCGCAGUAACAC